rnacentral:sRNA from 1 species
GUCGUGAGAUGUUGGGUUAAGUCCCGCAACGAGCGCAACCCUUGUCCUAUGUUGCCAGCGGAUUAUGCCGGGGACUCGUAGGAGACUGCCGGGGUCAACUCGGAGGAAGGUGGGGAUGACGUCAAGUCAUCAUGCCCCUUAUGUCCAGGGCUGCACACAUGCUACAAUGGCCGGUACAAAGGGCUGCUAUUCCGCGAGGAUGAGCGAAUCCCAUAAAGCCGGUCUCAGUUCGGAUCGCAGUCUGCAACUCGACUGCGUGGAGUCGGAGUCGCUAGUAAUCCCGGAUCAGCAACGCCGGGGUGAAUACGUUCCCGGGCCUUGUACACACCGCCCGUCACACCACGAAAGUUGGUAACACCCGAAGCCAGUGGCCCAACCGCAAGGAGGGAGCUGUCGAAGGUGGGAUCAGCGAUUGGGGUGAAGUCGUAACAAGGUAGCCGUACCGGAAGGUGCGGCUGGAUCACCUCCUUUCUAAGGAGUUACUGCCUCUCCCAUUGCGAGGAGAGGAACUCCCAGUUGAUGCACUGGUUACUCGGCGUCAUCGCAUCUCAGGCGGUCGUAGACCUCGGUCUCCCGUUUCCUGGGCGCUGCGAGAGCGCAGGACUUGUCUCUGUUCCGUUUUGAGGGAGCGACCCGGGCCCCGCCUUCGCGGCGGGGCCUUCGCUACGCCCGACUGGCCGUUGCCGGCAUCGCCGGCUCGAGCGGCCGAUCGCCCCUUGAGAACUGCAUAGCGAGCACGAGCAUCUUUGUUCUCCAAGCUAUGAAGAGCCAACGGUGGAUGCCUUGGCGCCUGAAGCCGAUGAAGGACGUGGGUGGCUGCGAUAAGCCACGGGGAGCUGCCGACCAAGCUUCGAUCCGUGGAUGU